rnacentral:tRNA from 1 species
GGCCGCCUAGCUCAAUUGGAUAGAGCACCUGACUACGGAUCAGGAGGUUGCAGGUUCGAGUCCAGCGGUGGUCG